rnacentral:lncRNA from 10 species
CACAGAUGGAGCUGGCAGGAGGAAUCUUGGGAAGCAUUUUUUUGCUCAGGAUGUGAAAGUAUAUGAAGAGUUUGGGAGAUCCAGGAGCAAUCAUUCACUAAGAGCCAGACCCCUGUGGCAGGCGCUGGCUAAACGCAGAGACUGGCUGGCUCGCUCACAGAGUGGAGAUCACUGGCAGAAGAGAAAUGCCAUGAAAGCAUCCACUCUGUGCCUCAGUUUCCUCAACUGUAAACAGAGACAAUAACCACACCUUCUUCAGAGAACUGGAUGGGGAAGUGAGUUGUCUACACACUAAGUGGUGUGGGGAAGAGGAGGCAUUCCUGGAAUAGGACUGCGUGGGAUAAACCUGAAAGGAAAAUGUCCAAUGCCGUGGGUGCUGGAGCAUGGGAAGGCUAGCCCGCUGCCAGCCACAUGGAGUGGGAGGAUCACGGAGCCUGAAGCUGAGAGGCCACAGCACUGCACCUGACAUAUAUUACCAACUUGCCAUGCAACUUCAUCUCAUUGACUCCGCAUUCCCAUUUUUUGGAGUGGAUCACCUGCAGUUCCCUUGACAACUGAGUGUCUGUAUUUUUCUGUAUCGUCCAGUGUGAUGACAACUGUCUACACAACCAAGUCUGGCCAGCACUGAACACACUCAGCUUCCCCACAGUGCUCCAAGUCUCAAAGCCCAAACUGCAGCCAAAUCUUGGCAGUGUUGUCCUCUGGUCAGGCCAGAGCACCUUUCUGAAGGACCUUUCUGAACAUUUUUAGACCAUUCGAUGAAUGACCCUAAAUUCUUGGCGCAUAAUUGGGACUGCUGCCAUCACGCCAGAAACAUUUAUUAAGCACUUACUGUGUACAGUGCUCAAGACCUGCCAUCUUGUUUCCAUCUUGACAACAAUGAUGCACAGUAGGGGUUGUCAUUCCCCGUUUCAGAGAAGAGUAAAGCUCAGCAGUGGCCCAGUAACUUGCCCAAGGCCACACAGCUACUGGGUGGCAGAACUGAAUUAAACCCUCCACUUUUUGACUCUAACACCUUUGCCUCCCUCCUUAGGGCGCAGGCACACCCAGCCAGGCUGAGAGGCACUCAGGCACUCUCGAACUUCAUGUUUGUCAUGCAUACAUAUGACUUCCUUCGACUUCUCUGCAAAUUUCCACCAUAUGCAUUUCCAUAGCAACAUUGCAACACAAACACGGUGUAAUCUUUGUCCACUGCAGUACAUAGCUUGAAAGGUUUUUUUGUUUUGUUUUGUUGUUUUGUUUUAAAUAAAAAGGAGCUGCAUAUGUUUACAGCUGACCUAGAUCCCAUGGCAACAAAUAACAGAUAUAAAC